UACCGCAGUAUCGCGCAAUCUUAUAAUGAAUAUCAUCGAGCGAGCAAUGCUUGCGAUUAACUGUGUAUUCUACAUUUUAAAAUAUCUGUAAAUGUAGUUAACAAAAUCAACUCGUUUCGUUAUUAAUUUAAUUUCGUCUCACCACAUAAGUACUUAACGCAGACGUUACUCGGUUAAAAAUUCACAUAUACUUCACAUCAGUGGAAAAUUGGAUACAGCGCAUGGCCAAGGGUACAUCUAUUAGGUUUGCACCAAUGUACAGAGAGAAGAUGUUAUAUUUAUCGUGAACUUUAUUUCGUAAAAUAAAAGACCAAACGUAUUUAUCCAUACAUUUUAUUGCAACUUAUAUUUAUAUUUGGGCAAAUUCUUCGAACGAAGAAAGACGAAAGAUCCUGAGUUCUCAUAUGGUUGCACUCGUUGUAUGCGAAACUGUCUCGCUAGUGAUUAUCAUAAGUUAUUUGCAAUAUCUCUGUAGCUGAUUUUUUGUUCUCCUAACUUUGUCUAUGAUAUUGUCUGUUCGUUUCUAUUAAACGACCAUUAUAAAAGUUUACAACUUUUUACAAAGAUCGUAAAAAGGAGUGAAUAUUUAGAAGAAAAUUAAAAGUCAGCAAUGAUCGAUAUCGACGAUGCGAUAAAUGUUCAAG